UAAAACUACUAGGGGCGCCUAUAAAGGCUGAGAUGAAUUUAAUUCAGACCCUUAAAACCUGAUUUGGUUAGUACCAACGGAGGAAAGUAGUGUAACAUAUUA
rfam:Streptomyces sp. WAC00263 NODE_98_length_29914_cov_113.417030, whole genome shotgun sequence.